UCAGCUCUAGCUCUAAUGUGGUGUCGAAAUGUUAAUUGUAAUGGUGAAAUGUGUAUAUGAUUGGUAUAAAAUUAAAUGAUUAUUGGACCAGUAUAAGGUAGAUAUUCUAUUCACGAAAGCUUGAGGUGUGACAGGGAUUAGAUACCCCAUUAAUUCAAGUGAUAAAUUAUGGCUUAUUGUAGAUUGGAUCUAUUUUAACAUGUGAAGGUUCUUAACCUAAGGGAGUACGCUUUCAUAAGUGAAACUUAAAUGUUCUGGUGGUUGUUUCAAUAUGGUGCUUGUUGAACGUGGAAUAGAUGAUUUAAUUCGAUGUUAUGCGAUAAAGCUUAUCGGGUAUCUAUUUGGAUACCUUUUCUUAGGUAGAAUUCUAUUCUAGGUAGUGCAUGGCUGUUUUUCGGUAAUGUUUUGUAAUAUCUGUUUCAGUUCAGGAAUAGCCGAUAGGCUUGUUACGUGGAUGCAGAUUAUGGUUGUACACAUCUUAAGAAUGCAUAUCUUGGUCUACGCAUAUCAAUUAUUUAGGUCCAGCUCAUCUAUUAGAUAGAGUAACGUCGAGUCAUUAUGCUCUUUUGUUCAGAGAUAUUCAUGUGUUACAAAGAGAGCAGCAGGAUGCAU
rnacentral:rRNA from 1 species